UACGUAGGGGGCAAGCGUUGUCCGGAUUUAUUGGGCGUAAAGAGCGUGUAGGCGGCUUGGUAGGUCUUGCGUCAAAACCUGAGGCUCAACCUCAGUUCGCGUGGGAAACCAUCUAGCUAGAGUCCGGAAGAGGAGAACGGAAUUCCCAGUGUAGCGGUGAAAUGCGCAGAUAUCAGGAAGAACACCUAUGGCGAAAGCAGCUCUCUGGGACGGUACUGACGCUGAGACGCGAAAGCGUGGGGAGCAAACAGG
rnacentral:rRNA from 1 species